rnacentral:rRNA from 1 species
CGUCUGGAAAGGCGCGCGAUACAGGGUGACAGCCCCGUACACAAAAAUGCACAUACUGUGAGCUCGAUGAGUAGGGCGGGACACGUGGUAUCCUGUCUGAAUAUGGGGGGACCAUCCUCCAAGGCUAAAUACUCCUGACUGACCGAUAGUGAACCAGUACCGUGAGGGAAAGGCGAAAAGAACCCCGGCGAGGGGAGUGAAAAAGAACCUGAAACCGUGUACGUACAAGCAGUGGGAGCACAGAGCAAUCUGUGUGACUGCGUACCUUUUGUAUAAUGGGUCAGCGACUUAUAUUCUGUAGCAAGGUUAACCGAAUAGGGGAGCCGAAGGGAAACCGAGUCUUAACUGGGCGUUAAGUUGCAGGGUAUAGACCCGAAACCCGGUGAUCUAGCCAUGGGCAGGUUGAAGGUUGGGUAACACUAACUGGAGGACCGAACCGACUAAUGUUGAAAAAUUAGCGGAUGACUUGUGGCUGGGGGUGAAAGGCCAAUCAAACCGGGAGAUAGCUGGUUCUCCCCGAAAGCUAUUUAGGUAGCGCCUCGUGAAUUCAUCUCCGGGGGUAGAGCACUGUUUCGGCAAGGGGGUCAUCCCGACUUACCAACCCGAUGCAAACUGCGAAUACCGGAGAAUGUUAUCACGGGAGACACACGGCGGGUGCUAACGUCCGUCGUGAAGAGGGAAACAACCCAGACCGCCAGCUAAGGUCCCAAAGUCAUGGUUAAGUGGGAAACGAUGUGGGAAGGCCCAGACAGCCAGGAUGUUGGCUUAGAAGCAG